GGCGUUGGUUGUCCAGGUGAAAGGAAGUAGGCAUGCAUCUUAGGCAAAUCCGGGGUGCUCUAUGCUGAGAUCUGAUAGCAAGCUGUACUUGUACAGCGAAGUGGCUGAUACCAUGCUUCCAGGAAAAGUCUCUAAGCUUCAGUUACACAGGAAUCGUACCCUAAACCGACACAGGUGGUCAGGUCGAGUAGACCAAGGCGCUUGAGAGAACUCUGCUGAAGGAACUAGGCAAAAUGGUACCGUAACUUCGGGAGAAGGUACGCUGUUGUUGGUGAUGGAACUUGCUUCCUGAGCUGAUGACAGCCACAGAAACCAGGCCGCUGCAACUGUUUAUUAAAAACAUAGCACUCUGCAAACACGAAAGUGGACGUAUAGGGUGUGAUGCCUGCCCGGUGCUGGAAGGUUAAUUGAUGGGGUUAGCGUAAGCGAAGCUCUUGAUCGAAGCCCCAGUAAACGGCGGCCGUAACUAUAACGGUCCUAAGGUAGCGAAAUUCCUUGUCGGGUAAGUUCCGACCUGCACGAAUGGCAUAAUGAUGGCGGCGCUGUCUCCAGCAGAGGCUCAGUGAAAUCGAAAUCGCUGUGAAGAUGCAGUGUACCCGCGGCUAGACGGAAAGACCCCGUGAACCUUUACUGCAGCUUGACAUUGAACUUUGACCUUACUUGUGUAGGAUAGGUGGGAGGCUUUGAAGUUGGAACGCUAGUUCCAAUGGAGCCGUCCUUGAAAUACCACCCUGGUAAUGUUGAGGUUCUAACUCUGCCCCGUAAUCCGGGGCGAGGACCAUGUCUGGUGGGUAGUUUGACUGGGGCGGUCUCCUCCUAAAGAGUAACGGAGGAGUACGAAGGUGCGCUCAGCGUGGUCGGAAAUCACGCGUAGAGUAUAAAGGCAAAAGCGCGCUUAACUGCGAGACCCACAAGUCGAGCAGGUACGAAAGUAGGUCUUAGUGAUCCGGUGGUUCUGUAUGGAAGGGCCAUCGCUCAACGGAUAAAAGGUACUCUGGGGAUAACAGGCUGAUACCGCCCAAGAGUUCAUAUCGACGGCGGUGUUUGGCACCUCGAUGUCGGCUCAUCUCAUCCUGGGGCUGAAGCAGGUCCCAAGGGUAUGGCUGUUCGCCAUUUAAAGAGGUACGCGAGCUGGGUUUAGAACGUCGUGAGACAGUUCGGUCCCUAUCUACCGUGGGCGCUGGAAAUUUGAGAGGAUCUGCUCCUAGUACGAGAGGACCAGAGUGGACGAACCUCUGGUGUACCGGUUGUGACGCCAGUCGCAUCGCCGGGUAGCUAUGUUCGGAAGGGAUAACCGCUGAAAGCAUCUAAGCGGGAAGCCUACCUCAAGAUAAGAUUUCCCUAGGACUUUAUGUCCUCUAAAGAGCCGUUCGAGACUAGGACGUUGAUAGGUUGGAUGUGGAAGCAUAGUGAUAUGUGAAGCUGACCAAUACUAAUUGCUCGUGAGGCUUGACUA
rnacentral:rRNA from 1 species